UUGCUCCCGGAUGUUAGCGGCGGACGGGUGAGUAACACGUGGGUAACCUGCCUGUAAGACUGGGAUAACUCCGGGAAACCGGAGCUAAUACCGGAUAGUUCCUUGAACCGCAUGGUUCAAGGAUGAAAGACGGUUUCGGCUGUCACUUACAGAUGGACCCGCGGCGCAUUAGCUAGUUGGUGGGGUAAUGGCUCACCAAGGCGACGAUGCGUAGCCGACCUGAGAGGGUGAUCGGCCACACUGGGACUGAGACACGGCCCAGACUCCUACGGGAGGCAGCAGUAGGGAAUCUUCCGCAAUGGACGAAAGUCUGACGGAGCAACGCCGCGUGAGUGAUGAAGGUUUUCGGAUCGUAAAGCUCUGUUGUUAGGGAAGAACAAGUGCGAGAGUAACUGCUCGCACCUUGACGGUACCUAACCAGAAAGCCACGGCUAACUACGUGCCAGCAGCCGCGGUAAUACGUAGGUGGCAAGCGUUGUCCGGAAUUAUUGGGCGUAAAGGGCUCGCAGGCGGUUUCUUAAGUCUGAUGUGAAAGCCCCCGGCUCAACCGGGGAGGGUCAUUGGAAACUGGGAAACUUGAGUGCAGAAGAGGAGAGUGGAAUUCCACGUGUAGCGGUGAAAUGCGUAGAGAUGUGGAGGAACACCAGUGGCGAAGGCGACUCUCUGGUCUGUAACUGACGCUGAGGAGCGAAAGCGUGGGGAGCGAACAGGAUUAGAUACCCUGGUAGUCCACGCCGUAAACGAUGAGUGCUAAGUGUUAGGGGGUUUCCGCCCCUUAGUGCUGCAGCUAACGCAUUAAGCACUCCGCCUGGGGAGUACGGUCGCAAGACUGAAACUCAAAGGAAUUGACGGGGGCCCGCACAAGCGGUGGAGCAUGUGGUUUAAUUCGAAGCAACGCGAAGAACCUUACCAGGUCUUGACAUCCUCUGACAACCCUAGAGAUAGGGCUUUCCCUUCGGGGACAGAGUGACAGGUGGUGCAUGGUUGUCGUCAGCUCGUGUCGUGAGAUGUUGGGUUAAGUCCCGCAACGAGCGCAACCCUUGAUCUUAGUUGCCAGCAUUCAGUUGGGCACUCUAAGGUGACUGCCGGUGACAAACCGGAGGAAGGUGGGGAUGACGUCAAAUCAUCAUGCCCCUUAUGACCUGGGCUACACACGUGCUACAAUGGACAGAACAAAGGGCUGCAAGACCGCAAGGUUUAGCCAAUCCCAUAAAUCUGUUCUCAGUUCGGAUCGCAGUCUGCAACUCGACUGCGUGAAGC
rnacentral:rRNA from 1 species